UACGUAGGGUGCGAGCGUUGUCCGGAAUUAUUGGGCGUAAAGAGCUCGUAGGCGGCCUGUCGCGUCGGAUGUGAAAACUCGGGGCUUAACCCCGAGCCUGCAUUCGAUACGGGCAGGCUAGAGUGCGGUAGGGGAGACUGGAAUUCCUGGUGUAGCGGUGAAAUGCGCAGAUAUCAGGAGGAACACCGGUGGCGAAGGCGGGUCUCUGGGCCGUAACUGACGCUGAGGAGCGAAAGCAUGGGGAGCGAACAGG
rnacentral:rRNA from 1 species